GUGGCAUCUGAGUGCUUAUUGCACCACAUGUGUUUUUCUUUGAAACAAACUUGCUUUGGCGGUGGGCCCAGCCUGCCGCCAGAGGUCUAAACUUACAACCAAUUUUUUAUCAACUUGUCACACCAGAUUAUUACUUAAUAGUCAAAACUUUCAACAACGGAUCUCUUGGUUCUCGCAUCGAUGAAGAACGCAGCGAAAUGCGAUACGUAAUAUGAAUUGCAGAUAUUCGUGAAUCAUCGAAUCUUUGAACGCACAUUGCGCCCUCUGGUAUUCCGGAGGGCAUGCCUGUUUGAGCGUCGUUUCUCCCUCAAACCGCUGGGUUUGGUGUUGAGCAAUACGACUUGGGUUUGCUUGAAAGACGGUAGUGGUAAGGCGGGAUCGCUUUGACAAUGGCUUAGGUCUAACCAAAAACAUUGCUUGCGGCGGUAACGUCCACCACGUAUAUCUUCAAACUUUGACCUCAAAUCAGGUAGGACUACCCGCUGAACUUAAGCAUAUCAAUAAGCGGAGGAA
rnacentral:rRNA from 1 species